UACGGGGGGGGCAAGCGUUGUUCGGAAUUACUGGGCGUAAAGGGCUCGUAGGCGGCCAACUAAGUCAUACGUGAAAUCCCUCGGCUUAACCGGGGAACUGCGUCUGAUACUGGAUGGCUUGAGAUUGGGAGAGGGAUGCGGAAUUCCAGGUGUAGCGGUGAAAUGCGUAGAUAUCGUAAGGAAGACCAGUGGCGAAGGCGGGUCUCUGGACAGUUCCUGACGCUGAGGCACGAAGGCCAGGGGAGCAAACGGG
rnacentral:rRNA from 1 species